rnacentral:rRNA from 1 species
CAGCCGCCGCGGUAACACAGAGGGUGCGAGCGUUAAUCGGAUUUACUGGGCGUAAAGCGUGCGUAGGCGGCUUUUUAAGUCGGAUGUGAAAUCCCUGAGCUUAACUUAGGAAUUGCAUUCGAUACUGGGAAGCUAGAGUAUGGGAGAGAAUGGUAGAAUUCCAGGUGUAGCGGUGAAAUGCGUAGAGAUCUGGAGGAAUACCGAUGGCGAAGGCAGCCAUCUUGCCUAAUACUGACGCUGAGGUACGAAAGCAUGGGGAGCAAACAGGAUUAGAUACCCCGGUAGUCCCUGUCUCUUAUAC